rnacentral:pre_miRNA from 1 species
GGAAACUUGGAAACUACCGUUGGAUCGAAAAAUAGACGUCCGAGAUUCGUCCACGUCAUCAUGAGUUAAAAGUUAACUCCUAGUAAAAAUUUAAUUCAUUAGUGAAUCUGCGAGUUAAAUUUUAACUCAUGGUGACAUGGACGAAUCUCGGACGUCUAUUUCUCGAUCCAACGGUAGUUUCUAAGUUUCC